rnacentral:tRNA from 2 species
UGGGGCGUCGCCAAGUGGUAAGGCAGCGGUUUUUGGAUCCGCCACUCGUAGGUUCGAGUCCUUCCGCCCCAG